rnacentral:rRNA from 1 species
UACGGAGGGGGCAAGCGUUAUUCGGAAUUAUUGGGCGUAAAGGGCGCGUAGGCGGCUAGAUGUGUCAAAGGUGAAAUCCCUCGGCUCAACUGAGGAACUGCCUUUGAAACUGUCUGGCUUGAGGCCGGGAGAGGGUAGCGGAAUUCCCAGUGUAGCGGUGAAAUGCGUAGAUAUUGGGAGGAACACCAGUGGCGAAGGCGGCUACCUGGACCGGUUCCGACGCUGAGGCGCGAAAGCGUGGGUAGCAAACAGG